AUACUGCAGGUCUUGAGUCAUGGUGGGGUUGCCGGAACAUGUGGUGUAGCGGUGAAAUGCAUAGAUAUCACAUAGAACACCGAUCGCGAAGGCAGGUGACCAACCAUGUACUGACGCUGAUGGACGAAAGCGUGGGUAGCGAACGGGAUUAGAUACCCCGGUAGUCCACGCCGUAAACGAUGGAUACUAGCUGUGGGGACUUCGGUCUCCGUGGCCAAGCGAAAGUGAUAAGUAUCCCACCUGGGGAGUACGUUCGCAAGAAUGAAACUCAAAGGAAUUGACGGGGGCCCGCACAAGCGGUGGAGCAUGUGGUUUAAUUCGAUGAUACGCGAGGAACCUUACCAGGGCUUAAAUGCAGGCUGCAUGGGGUAGAGAUACCCCUUUCUUCGGACCGCCUGCAAGGUGCUGCAUGGUUGUCGUCAGCUCGUGCCGUGAGGUGUCAGGUUAAGUCCUAUAACGAGCGCAACCCCUACCGUUAGUUGCCAGCAUGUCAAGAUGGGGACUCUAACGGGACUGCCGGUGCAAACCGUGAGGAAGGUGGGGACGACGUCAAAUCAUCACGGCCCUUACGUCCUGGGCUACACACGUGCUACAAUGGCCGGUACAGAGGGAAGCCACCCCGCAAGGGGGCGCGGAUCUACAAAACCGGUCACAGUUCGGAUCGGGGUCUGCAACUCGACCCCGUGAAGCUGGAAUCGCUAGUAAUCGGAUAUCAGCCAUGAUCCG
rnacentral:rRNA from 1 species